UAAAACUCACAUACAUGGUUUCAAUAAAACUCUGGAUUUUUUGAUUCGAAUACAAAUAGAUAAUGAAUCAAAAGCCAAACUAUAUAUAUUAUUUUUUAUUUUUUACGGAUAAAGUUGAGCGAAAUAUUCAUAAAUUUUGAUUCGAUUCGUUAUCCGUUUUGAUUUGAACCAAAAAUCUAGAUAUUCAUAACUCCACGAAACAAAUCAAAUACUAAACUACAAUAUCCAAA
rnacentral:lncRNA from 1 species